rnacentral:misc_RNA from 1 species
UGGCUCUGGCAUCGAUGAAGAACGCAGCGAAAUGCGAUACGUAAUGCGAAUUGCAGAAUCCAGUGAGUCAUCGAAUCUUUGAACGCACAUUGCGCCCGCCAGCAUUCUGGCGGGCAUGCCUGUCCGAGCGUCAUUUCCACCCUCGAGCCCUGUAGCUCGGUGUUGGGGGUAACCUACGGCCGCCGUAGGCCCUGAAAUACAGUGGCGGACCCUCAGGCACUUCCGGGCGCAGUAGUUACAUUCUCGCCUUCUGGAAGGGCCUGGCGGGUUCCUGCCUAGACACCGCCGUCCAGGCGGUGGACACACCUAAGGUUGACCUCGGAUCAGGUAGGAAUACCCGCUGA